CCUACGGGAGGCAGCAGUGGGGAAUUUUGGACAAUGGGCGCAAGCCUGAUCCAGCAAUGCCGCGUGAGUGAAGAAGGCCUUCGGGUUGUAAAGCUCUUUUGUCAGGGAAGAAACGGUGUUUUCUAAUACAGAAUGCUAAUGACGGUACCUGAAGAAUAAGCACCGGCUAACUACGUGCCAGCAGCCGCGGUAAUACGUAGGGUGCAAGCGUUAAUCGGAAUUACUGGGCGUAAAGCGUGCGCAGGCGGUUUUGUAAGUCUGUCGUGAAAUCCCCGGGCUCAACCUGGGAAUGGCGAUGGAGACUGCAAGGCUAGAAUCUGGCAGAGGGGGGUAGAAUUCCACGUGUAGCAGUGAAAUGCGUAGAUAUGUGGAGGAACACCGAUGGCGAAGGCAGCCCCCUGGGCUAAGAUUGACGCUCAUGCACGAAAGCGUGGGGAGCAAACAGGAUUAGAUACCCUGGUAGUCCACGCCCUAAACGAUGUCUACUAGUUGUCGGGUCUUAAUUGACUUGGUAACGCAGCUAACGCGUGAAGUAGACCGCCUGGGGAGUACGGUCGCGAAGAUUAAAACUUAAAGGAAUUGACGG
rnacentral:rRNA from 1 species